rnacentral:rRNA from 1 species
UACGGAGGGAGCUAGCGUUGUUCGGAAUUACUGGGCGUAAAGCGCGCGUAGGCGGCUUUGUAAGUUAGAGGUGAAAGCCCGGAGCUCAACUCCGGAACUGCCUUUAAGACUGCAUCGCUUGAAUCCAGGAGAGGUGAGUGGGAAUUCCUGGUGUAGCGGUGGAAUGCGUAGAGAUCAGGAAGAACACCCUGGCGAAGGCAGCUCUCUGGGCCGACUGAC